UACAGAGACUGCAAGCGUUGUUCGGAUUCAUUGGGCGUAAAGGGUGCGCAGGCGGUUCGUUAAGUCGGAUGUGAAAUCUCACAGCCUAACCGUGAUAGGUCAUUCGAAACUGGCGGACUUGAGGGCGGGAGAGGAGAGUGGAAUAGUCGGUGUAGCGGUGAAAUGCGUAGAGAUCGGCAAGAACACCGGUGGCGAAGGCGAGUCUCUGGACAGUUCCUGACGCUCAGGCACGAAAGCCAGGGGAGCAAACGGG
rnacentral:rRNA from 1 species